UACAGAGGGUGCAAGCGUUAAUCGGAAUUACUGGGCGUAAAGGGCUUGUAGGCGGUUAAUUAAGUUAGAUGUGGAAUACCUGGGCUCAACCUGGGAAUGGCAUUUAAUACUGGUUAGCUAGAGUAUAGUAGAGGAAAGGGGAAUUUCCAGUGUAGCGGUGAAAUGCGUAGAUAUCGGAAAGAACAUCAGUGGCGAAGGCGCCUUUCUGGACUAAUACUGACGCUGAGGAGCGAAGGCGUGGGGAGCAAACAGG
rnacentral:rRNA from 1 species